UCAUGCCCUUCCGCAAACCAAACCAAACUCUUGAGAAAACGCUGAUUAGUGAUUCUUCCUCUGAAUGAUUCAAAAUGAAGAACCGUUGUUAUGGUUAGUUGUGUGACCUAACAUGGAGAACGAGGAAGCCAAAGAACCCAAACGGAUCUGCCAAGAUAAAAUGCGACAUCCUAUCCUUCUUGCAUGGUCAGAAAUAGAUCUGAUUUACACGCAUUUAUCCGUUUCCAACCAACUAAGUCGGCCAAAAUCUCAAUAUAGUGAAUCAUCAUUCAAAGCAUUGGGACCCGGAUAAUCUCGUACCAUAAAUGCGUUGUACUGUUGAAUGGAACUAAUAUGGUUGAUGAACUACAAGAUCCAACUCAAAGAAGCCUGAUCAUUCUAGGGAGAAGUUGUUGCUUUGUUGGCUGGCUUGGCACAAAUGACAACCUCCCUGAUUACUGAACAGUUUUGCUAAUGCAGCUGCAAUCUGGUACAGAGAUUAAGUGUUUAAUUUCUUGUGAAAUUAAAAAGAAAAAUUAUAGACUUGAUAUAUUAUCAGAUUGAGUGAAUACCCGAGUUUCAUUGCUUUGGUUGAUGGUUCACUGUAUUUGUAUUGAGACUGUGGCUGACUUAGCUGGAGACUGAUAGAUGCAAGUGAAUCAUAUCCAUUUCUGACGUUGUAAGAAGGAUUGGAUGCCACAUUUUCUUCAUUUGUACUCCUUGCUUCAUAAACCUAAGAUUGAUCCAAAUCUUUUGUUUAGGUUUAGCUAAAGGAAACUUGAAGCCUUUAGCUUCGGACUAAAUAGAAGGUUUAGUUACUUUUUUGCUCUUCUAA